rnacentral:rRNA from 1 species
UACGGAAGGGGGCUAGCGUUGUUCGGAAUCACUGGGCGUAAAGGGCGCGUAGGCGGCUUGAUAAGUCGGGGGUGAAAGCCUGUGGCUCAACCACAGAAUUGCCUUCGAUACUGUCGAGCUUGAGACCGGAAGAGGUAAGUGGAACUGCGAGUGUAGAGGUGAAAUUCGUAGAUAUUCGGCGGAACACCAGUGGCGAAGGCGACUCACUGGCCCGAUACUGACGCUGAGGCGCGAAAGCUAGGGGAGCAAACGGG